rnacentral:rRNA from 1 species
UACGUAGGGUGCGAGCGUUAAUCGGAAUUACUGGGCGUAAAGCGUGCGCAGGCGGCGCGUUAAGACAGGUGUGAAAGCCCCGAGCUUAACUUGGGAAUUGCGCUUGUGACUGGCGUGCUGGAGUGUGGCAGAGGGCGGUGGAAUUGCCGGUGUAGUGGUGAAAUGCGUAGAGAUCGGCAGGAACACCCAGGGAGAAAUCAGCCGCCUGGGCAAGUGCUGACGCUGAGGUGCGAAAGCGUGGGGAGCGAACCGG